rfam:Schistosoma haematobium scaffold1011_19, whole genome shotgun sequence.
AUCCAGCUGGCGAGUCCCGAAUAAGACGAAACGAACGUCCUGGAU